AACGAACGCUGGCGGCAUGCCUAACACAUGCAAGUCGAACGAGACCUUCGGGUCUAGUGGCGCACGGGUGCGUAACGCGUGGGAACCUGCCCUUAGGUUCGGAAUAACUCCCCGAAAGGGGUGCUAAUACCGGCUAAUGUCUCCGGACCAAAGAUUUAUCGCCUUUGGAUGGGCCCGCGUUGGAUUAGCUAGUUGGUAGGGUAAAAGCCUACCAAGGCGACGAUCCAUAGCUGGUCUGAGAGGAUGAUCAGCCACACUGGGACUGAGACACGGCCCAGACUCCUACGGGAGGCAGCAGUGGGGAAUAUUGGACAAUGGGCGAAAGCCUGAUCCAGCAAUGCCGCGUGAGUGAUGAAGGCCUUAGGGUUGUAAAGCUCUUUUACCCGGGAUGAUAAUGACAGUACCGUGAGAAUAAGCUCCGGCUAACUCCGUG
rnacentral:rRNA from 1 species